UACGUAGGGUGCGAGCGUUAAUCGGAAUUACUGGGCGUAAAGUGUGCGCAGGCGGCCGCGCAAGUCGAGUGUGAAAUCCCCGGGCUUAACUUGGGAAUUGCGCUCGAAACUACGUGGCUGGAGUGUGGCAGAGGAAGGUGGAAUUCCACGUGUAGCGGUGAAAUGCGUAGAGAUGUGGAGGAACACCAAUGGCGAAGGCAGCCUUCUGGGCCAACACUGACGCUCAUGCACGAAAGCGUGGGGAGCAAACAGG
rnacentral:rRNA from 1 species